GGGGGAUCUUGCGCAAUGGACGAAAGUCUGACGCAGCCACGCCGCGUGAGUGAAGAAGGCCUUCGGGUUGUAAAGCUCUGUCGGAAGGGACGAGAAGCAUUUGGGUUAACAGCCCAAGUGCCUGACGGUACCUUUAAAGGAAGCACCGGCUAACUCUGUGCCAGCAGCCGCGGUAAGACAGAGGGGGCAAGCGUUGUCCGGAGUUACUGGGCGUAAAGCGCGCGUAGGCGGUACGGUAAGUAAGGGGUGAAAGCCCCAGGCUUAACCUGGGGAGGUUAUCUUCGACUGCCGCACUCGAGUCGUGCAGAGGGUUGUGGAAUUGCCGGUGUAGUGGUGAAAUGCGUAGAGAUCGGCAGGAACACCAAGGGCGAAAGCAGCCACCUGGGCACGUACUGACGCUGAGGUGCGAAAGCGUGGGGAGCGAAC
rnacentral:rRNA from 1 species